rnacentral:misc_RNA from 1 species
GAUGAAGAACGUAGCGAAAUGCGAUAAGUAAUGCGAAUUGCAGAAUUCCAGUGAGUCAUCGAAUCUUUGAACGCACAUUGCGCCCUUUGGUAUUCCGAAGGGCAUGCCUGUUCGAGCGUCAUUAUCACCCCUCAAGCCCUCGGCUUGGUGUUGGACGGUUUGGUGGAGGCCCCCUCGGGGGCUCCUGCCCCUCCCAAAGACAAUGACGGCGGCCUCGUUGGACCCCCGGUACACUGAGUUCUUCACGGGACACGUAUCGGACACAUGGGUUUACGGGACACGGUCUGCCUCCCCUCAGGGAGAAUCUUUCUAAGGUUGACCUCGGAUCAGGUAGGGAUACCCGCUGAACUUAAGCAUAUCCAAUAAGCGGAGGA